GACAGGAGGGUGCAAACGUUGUUCGGAAUUACUGGGCGUAAAGCGAGUGUAGGCGGUCUCGUAAGUCGGGUGUGAAAGCCCUGGGCUCAAACCCAGGAAGGUGCACUCGAAACUGCGAGGCUAGAGUACUGGAGAGGUUGGUGGAAUUCUCGGUGUAGAGGUGAAAAUUCGUAGAUAUCGAGAGGAACACCGGUGGCGAAGGCGGCCAACUGGACAGAUACUGACGCUGAGACUCGAAAGCGUGGGGAGCAAACAGG
rnacentral:rRNA from 1 species